rnacentral:rRNA from 1 species
GUAGUCGAUGGAUAACGGGUUGAUAUUCCCGUACCCGUGUGUCCGCGCCCAUGGUGAAUCAGGGAUACUAACCCACCUGAACAUGCGCCUUUCGCUGACCUUUUAGGUUGGUUGGUGUGUGUGAUGCUGGGGACCUGAACUGGUAGUAGCCAAGUGAUGGGGUGACGCAGGAAGGUAGCCGUGCCACGUGAUGGAUAUCGUGGUGUAAGCGUGUGGCCCGUGUUCUAGGUAAAUCCGGAGCACAUUCAAGGGUGAGGCGUGAUGCGUACCCGUUUUGGGGAAGUUGGUGAUCCUAUGCUGCCGAGAAAAGCCUCUAGCGAUGUGGAUAUACGGCCCGUACCCGAAACCGACACAGGUAGUCAGGUAGAGAAUACUAAGGCGAUCGGGAUAACUGUGGUUAAGGAACUCGGCAAAAUGCCCCCGUAACUUCGGGAGAAGGGGGGCCAUGACUGGUGACCGACGUGGUUGAGCUGGUUGUGGCCGCAGAGAAUAGAGGGAAGCGACUGUUUACUAAAAACACAGGUCCGUGCGAAGACAUUUAAGUCGAGGUAUACGGACUGACGCCUGCCCGGUGCUGGAAGGUUAAGAGGACCUGUUAGAUCCCUUUGUGGGUCGAAGCGGAGAAUUUAAGCCCCAGUAAACGGCGGUGGUAACUAUAACCAUCCUAAGGUAGCGAAAUUCCUUGUCGGGUAAGUUCCGACCUGCACGAAUGGCGUAACGACUUCCCUGCUGUCUCAACCACAGACCCGGCGAAAUUGCAGUACGAGUAAAGAUGCUCGUUACGCGCGGCAGGACGAAAAGACCCCGGGACCUUCACUAUAGCUUGGUAUUGGUGUUCGGUUCGGUUUGUGUAGGAUAGGUGGGAGACUGUGAUGCCUCAACGCCAGUUGGGGUGGAGUCGUUGUUGAAAUACCACUCUGAUCGUAUUGGACAUCUCAACCUCGGCCCGUGAUCCGGGUUAGGGACAGUGCCUGGUGGGUAGUUUAACUGGGGCGGUUGCCUCCCAAAGAGUAACGGAGGCGCCCAAAGGUUCCCUCAGCCUGGUUGGCAAUCAGGUGUUGAGUGUAAGUGCACAAGGGAGCUUGACUGUGAGACUGACAGGUCGAGCAGGUAGGAAACUAGGGACUAGUGAUCCGGCACCGGCUUGUGGAAGCGGUGUCGCUCAACGGAUAAAAGGUACCCCGGGGAUAACAGGCUGAUCUUGCCCAAGA